CAGUGUGCCAGAUGGAAACUGCCAAAGAAAAUUGUCUUUGAGCUUGCAUGAUAUGAAUGUCUCACUGCUUCCCCUCGUUACUCAGCAGCAUCAGAUUGUGUUUUCUUUGUGGUUGAGAGAUGGUCAACAUCCGCUUGAGAAGGUGCGCCGGUUGUACACCCAGAAAACUGAGCUGCAGAGACAGGGGAGGUGAUAAGUCGCAGCGACCGUGCUCACCAAACACCUCAUCACCUGAGCUGCUCGGACCUGGGAAGGGCACAAAACGCAGGCCCAACCGAGUCUGCGCCUCUGAGGACUACUCGAGUGCCUGAACCUGAGCGGCUUAGACCUGGGAGGUACAUGCAGCCCAGGGCAGGCCUCAGGCGGUUCCCAGUGGAGGAACCUAGGGCCUGAGCAGUGUGGGUAGGGAGGGUACACGCGCCAUGAACGGGGGCAGGCCCAGUGUGGCUGAGGCACUGCGAACACACACCAGUGUUAUUUGUUUGCAGCGUCCCUCCCUCCCCACAGUGCGACUGAACAAGUUAGCCUAAAAAAAGUGUCCACCACCGCCCCCUUUGUGUCAGGGUGGAAAUCAGACACUGAAGAGACCAGCAAACAGAAGAAGCUAAAACAGAGGGAACCGCCUUGGAAGUGACAGGUGCAAUAGAUUAAAACCCUGUCGUUAGUACUGACUACAUGGGAAGGGGCCUAUAGAUCUUGAGAAAUAUAAGCCAGACCAAGGAACUAUCUGAAAAUGAACUGACCCUACGAUACCCACAACAACACCAGAGAAAG
ensembl:lncRNA